GGCUGGUCCGAUGGUAGUGGGUUAUCAGAACUUAUUAACAUUAGUGCUACUAAAGUUGGUAUUUAACCCCCCGCUGCUAAAUUUCACUGGCUUAAA
ensembl:misc_RNA Y_RNA Y RNA